CCGGCGUCGGGAGGAGGACGGCGCAGGAAGACGUCAGACUCGUUGAGACUACAGACGUAUAGUUUUACCGAGAAGAACAUUCCGAUGACCAGAGACUAUAUCAGUUCUAAGUGUGGAAGAGACAGGGAAUCAACUCUUCAUGACAGAAACACCCCAGCUCUGCAGUGGGUUAAGGAAGACACUGCAAAGGAAAUAUGAGAAAAAUUGUAUUUUGCAUUGCGGACAAUUGCACAAUGGCGUUCAUUAAGGAACUGCCAAAAAUCACGGAUACUUUCCUCUCCAUCUGCAAACAAAUAGUGAGCUGCGUGUCCACAGAUCCACUUCACAGAUUUCGUCUUGGCUUGUGGAAAGUAUUCCGGGUCUGGAAAGAGAAACAGUUUAGUAGGUAUCUGAUGAAAAGUCAUACUGGUAAUUACGGAAACAUCUGUCGCAGCAACAUCCAGACACCUCUUGCCGAUCACACCAGGCGGUGCUCGUCUGUGUCCAAAACAUCACAGGCGACACACAGCGGGGUGUUUGCGAGGUGAAUUUCAUGUAAGCGUGACCAGCAUACUUGCUUCCCAUUGACAGUAAGGUACCAUGCAGACUGGACGUCAUUGUCAACAUAAGGAGCGCACACCGAUCGCCAAACGGCAAGCCAGUCGACGUCAACGUCUGGUCCUCUGCAAAAUACAGGGUGGAGCCUGAAGGUAUAUAAAGCCCAACACCCCACCCCCCACCCCUCAAUCACACAACCAUCAUCAGUCUUUGACAGUGCCUAGUUGUGUUCGUGUGCUCAUCGCAAGAUGAAACGUUCAACCAGUAGCAGCGCCAGCAGCAGUGGUGAUGAGAAACAGCCAGACUUGGACUAACUGCCAUGUAAGUGUUUAUAAAGAAUAUUAUGAGUUCAAAUUGCGACAGUUUGAAGGUUUCGUAGCAAAGUAUUCAAAUUUUUCGAGAUUGUGACACAUUUUCGCAUCAGAUUGUUAUAAAAGUUCUCUUUCUUGCUGUUGCAGCAUUCAUUCACCAAAUGAAGACUUAGCGCAUUAGCUGUAAGCUUAGAAGCAGCCAUGUAAGUACAUUUCCAAAUUUUGUGUCUGAUGGUUUACACGUUCAGAAUUUGUCGCUUAAAAGUUGAUAGCAGCAGCAAGUCGAAGAGGUUAUGCUACCUUCACGUAAGUGCAUCUCCAAAUUCCCUGUGUGUGUGAUAGCUUACGUGGUCAGAAAACAACUCUCGAUGUAUUCAAAUCGUAACAAGUAUUUAUAAAAGUUUUGAUCUCACUGUUGCAGCACUUGGGCAGCAGUUGACAGCCUUUGAACGGCUGCUGGAGACCAAAAGGCAACAGCAGCGUGUACGUGUUGCUAUGGAGCAAGAGAAGGAGAAUCUAGCAGGGGUAUGCGUCAAGGACCAGGAGUCAUCACUUCCAUCUGACGAAUUCAGUGGGAUGGAUCAAUGGCUCCACGGCAUUUCUGAGGAGGGUGAAAUACCGGAGUGCAUACAUGAGAUGGUGGAUUCUGAGUAAGCCGAAAGGCAGUGCCAUCUCGCCCUUUUGAAUGAGGAGGAGGAAAUACUGGAUUGUGUGGGAGAACUAGUAGGAACACUGACUGAACUGCUUAAUCCUUGAACCCAGAGUAUAAAAGAGGUUGUCGCCAACACUGCCACUACAACAGCUUGCUGUAACAUGGGUGCCUAGAAGUGUGGUUGUGGGGACAGGCGUCAGUCAUGCACCCGAGUGCAAACCACUGCUCAUAGCUGUGUGAGAGGCAGUGGACACAGCUGCAGUGUCAGCCCCUGCAACAUCGCAUUCUCUCUGGCGUCUCUGGGUGGUUCAGUCGGAAGAAGAACAGCAAUGAUCUCCCCCCCCCCCCCCCUCCAGGCUGGUCGUGGUGAGGGCUCCAGCAUGCAGCAGCAUCGAGUGCUCUCUCCGCAGCCUGGGUGCUCUCACAGUACCUCACCACCACCACCACCUCCCCGUACUCCGGCUCUAAUUAUUUGCCCUCGCUAGCACCAAAACGUAUGUGUGCCUUAGUGCGUACCUCUCACUGCAGCAGGUGCCCUCUCCCCAAUGUCGUCAUCCACCGAGUGGUCGCAGUCGUUGGCUUCCCCUACACAUAGUUUUACUGAUACUGUUAAUGAUAAAUAACUUGUGGCUAGCGGUAGUGCUCUCUCCCGUCCUGAUUGAGAAGGAUGUGAGAUUAGCGGCCUCAUGGCCCCCCUCUAGAAUACUCGGUGGUUGGUAGGGCCUUCGAAGGGCGAAUCUCUUUCACUAGAACUGAGAAUCCGGCAGGGGUUUAUCGCGAUCCAGUCGGGUUUCUACAAGUGUACAUCCCGGCACUGGAGACAGAGCUCCUCAAAGCCCUAGACGAUCUGAGAUUUAAUGUUGUUAAAUGUAACGCAGUACUCUGCUGCGAGUUGAUUCACCCACCCAAAGAGCAGCGUGUUGCUGAGGAGAAAAGCUUGCACUACGUCUGGGGUGAUAAUGGAAUUAUUUCUUGGAGCACAUCGAUCGCCGAGUGAUAUCGUGAAUCAACAUGGGGUUUUAUACUGGCCCAGUUUUCCAAGAUGGAAGUAAGAGGGUCAGCUAAAGCACUCAUCCAAAUACCAGAUAUCGACAUUCAUAUUUAUGUCUGUGAUCUGUUAAAAGGAGGGUCCAGUUGUAUCAAGCUCACUUAGGAUAUAGCUAAUAAGAGGGCAUGGAUUAAUGUCGAAAAUAGAUAGGAUCAUGCUUGUUUUACACGGUAAAUCUUUGCUUGCGAAAGAAAUUAGUGUGUACGUCCAGUGCACAUAUCUCGAUAUGGAAUAGGCCUUAACAUUCAUGGAUGUUAUGUCUUUGACAGUAUCAAGCUCACCGUGAAGAUUCAGGACACACCAAAAAUUAAGGCACAAAAGCCUGGAAUGUCGGCUCACGUUUAUGACUUGAAGAAGCAGAAAAGCAAGCCAGAUGACUGAUGAUAAUGAUAAUCAGCAACAGAAGGAGGACAAGCAUACGAUGAUAAUCAGGAACAGGAGAAGGAUAAGCGUACUGUAGUUGGACCACUCCAUUUUUCGAAAUGUGCGGGUGAGUCUGAUCUUCAUGUAAACAUGCUGCUCUUAUCUGAAGGUGAUAAUCAACAUUACGUAUGGAUCAAAGACAUGUCGCACCUCCUUAACUCCCAGCUCAAUAAAAACAAGUGUAAAAAAACACAUUUGAUUCAGGUGUCAAUACCUUUCAGGAACAGAAGUAUUUAAAAAGGCAUCUGAAGGACUGUGAAUCCGAGGAACAGUUACGUGUUGUUAUGCAUACAGAAGAAAACAAGUUCAUUAAAUUCAUGAAUGUUCUCCACCAAGAACGAUGUCCAUUUGUUGUAUACACAGAGUCUGAAUGUCUCUUUGCCCCUAUCACCCGCUGUGAAGGGAACCCCUUAGCCCCACAUACCACCUUCAUGCAAAAACACGUACCGUAUGCGGUGGUGUACCAACUUCAAUUCUCACAUGAUUCGAGUCUUAACCACUAUGAAUCUUAUGUCGGGGAUAAUCCUGUGGUUUGGUUACUCACCGAGCUUCAAGAACUCUCAUGGGAUGUUGACAGCCUUUACAGCACCAACAUCUCCAUGAUCGAAUCGGAGGAGGAUAAAAAAUUAUGGAAUGAUGAGGUUAACUGACAUAUUUGUGGGCUCUCAUUAGCCAGAAAAGCUGAAACUCCCUGUAGAGAUCAUUGUCAUCUUAUGGGGAAUUUCUGCUGUGCAGCUCACAACGCAUGCAACGUAAAGUAUAACUUACUGUGACACAUACCCAUCUUCUUCCAUAAUUUAAGUGGGUAUGAUGCUCACUUACUAGUUGAGCUACUGGCUAACACCAGUAUGAAAAAAGAUCAGGUCAGUGUCCUGUCUGAGAGUCUAGAAAAGUAUAUUUCUAGUAGUAGGACAAGGAGAGUGUCCCUCCAAAGUGGGUCACCCCAAACUACCGUUAUCCAAGAUGGUUGCCGUCACCCCAGGGGCGGCGUCACCCCAAAGUACCGUUAUCCAAGAUGGCGGCCGUGACGCAAGUACGUGAUGUCAGCUGAUGAUGCGAUUGACAGCAGCUGAUGACGCGACUACUGUUAUCCAAGACGGCGGCUUUUGGAGGGAAGAUGGCUCAAUUGUGCUACCUCUACUUACCUAAGAAAAUGGCGGGAAAGAAAAGGCUAUCUCCACUAAACUAAGUCACCUCUUCCAAGGAACUGGGCAUAAGUUUUUAUUUAAACAAUUAUAGACAGUACCACCAUCAAGUGUGUUCGCCAUUCUCUUCGAAUUUCGAAUUUUGCUCUAAGAGCUUACUCCUAAAGCUGAGGCGAGUUAGUAUGGUAUUACCGUUCAAUACGAAUAUAAUUUUUAUAAAUUUGUUAAAAUUUUCUUAAAUUUGUGUAUAUUUGAUUAAAUUUGUUUAAAUUUAUUAUCUACCUACAGCAUUAGUGUCGUGUUAUGGCCACAAGAUGCUGAGAAGCUCUGGACAUAAGUCUUUAUGUAAAUAAUUAGAGGCAGU